rnacentral:rRNA from 1 species
GUGCCAGCAGCCGCGGUAAUACGGAGGAUGCAAGCGUUAUCCGGAAUGAUUGGGCGUAAAGCGUCCGCAGGUGGCUGUUCAAGUCUGCUGUCAAAGGCUGGGGCUUAACCUCGGACAGGCAGUGGAAACUGAACGGCUAGAGUGCGGUAGGGGUAGAGGGAAUUCCCGGUGUAGCGGUGAAAUGCGUAGAGAUCGGGAAGAACACCAGUGGCGAAAGCGCUCUGCUGGACCGCAACUGACACUCAUGGACGAAAGCUAGGGGAGCGAAUGGGAUUAGAUACCCCAGUAGUCC